GCUAAGGAUGCAUUGCUAAAUUCUGAAGUUCUAACGCACUUUGAUCCAUCCUUACCCCUACAAUUGGCCUGCGAUGCCUCCCCUUAUGGAGUGGGAGCAGUCGUGUCACACAUUAUGCCUUCGGGAGAAGAGAGACCUAUUGCUUUUGCUUCACGCACUCUAAGCAAAGCAGAAACUAACUACGCCCAAAUCGAACGUGAGGCAUUAGGAAUUGUUUUUGGAAUUCGGAAGUUUCAUCAGUACCUGUUUGGGCGAAAGUUUACUCUUCUCACAGACCAUCGACCUCUGACGUCAAUUUUUGGACCCUACACAGGCAUUCCCCCAUUAGCUGCUAGUCGUAUGCAACGUUGGGCAUUGUUACUUUCAGCACACACAUAUGAAAUCAAAUAUCGGAAAUCCACUCUGCACGGCAAUGCAGAUGGCCUCUCAAGGUUGCCUUUGCCGGUCAAACAUCAAGAUAGUGCCCAAAAGGAAAUCUUCUACUUUGAACAGGUAGAGAAUACACCCAUCACUGCUACUCAGAUAAAGAAGGCAACUCGCGUUGACCCAGUAUUGUCCCAAGUUAUGGACCUGGUGAUGCAUGGAAAAUCUCGACAAACCUCUCCAGUCUCACCCGACCUUGUUACCUACAUGUCCAGGAGGACGGAGUUAUCGGUCCAAUCUGGUUGUUUGUUGUGGGGGAGACGUGUCAUUAUUCCACCACCACUGAGAUCACAGAUGUUAGAACAGCUACAUUCCGGUCACUGUGGAAUAGUGCGCAUGAAGGAAAUUGCACGAAGCUAUUUUUGGUGGCCUGGAUUGGACAGUGCUAUUGAAGAGAAGGCAAAAGCUUGUAUGUCAUGUCAGGGUGUGAGGAAUGCACCCCAGUGGGCACCCCUACACCCAUGGGACUGGCCUGAAAACCCGUGGCAACGUAUUCACAUUGACUUCGCUGGCCCCCUUGAAGGAAGCAUGUUCUUGGUGGCAGUAGAUGCCCAUUCUAAAUGGCCAGAAGUCUCUAUAAUGCAGUCCACUACUGCAGAGAGUACUAUCCAAAAACUACGGGGACUCUUUAGUCAUUUCGGUCUGCCAGAACAACUUGUGAGCGACAACGGACUGCAGUUUGUCUCUCAGGAGUUUCAAAAUUUUAUGAAGGCAAAUGGGAUACACCACAUCACGUCAGCACCAUAUCAUCCAUCCACCAACGGAUUAGCUGAAAAUUGUGCAGACAAUGAAACACGCUUUGAAAUCAGCAAGGGGACAACACUCCAUUCAAAAGCAUCUGGAUACCUUCUUACUUUCCUACAGAAACACACCUCAUGCUACGACCCAGGCAUCCCCAGCCUUUCUAAUGAUGGGAUGACAGCUGCGCACUUGCUUUGAUCUCCUUAAACCUUCUGAACCCCAACAAAUUGUGCAACAUCAGCAGCAAUAUUAAGUCAUCAGACAGGCACCCAGAGCAAAAGACCGAACCUUUAGCCUGGGACAGCCAGUUUUGG
rnacentral:lncRNA from 1 species